rnacentral:rRNA from 1 species
GACGAACGCUGGCGGCGUGCUUAACACAUGCAAGUCGAACGGAAAGGCCCUGCUUUUGUGGGGUGCUCGAGUGGCGAACGGGUGAGUAACACGUGAGUAACCUGCCCUUGACUUUGGGAUAACUUCAGGAAACUGGGGCUAAUACCGGAUCGGAGCUCCUGCUGCAUGGUGGGGGUUGGAAAGUUUCGGCGGUUGGGGAUGGACGCGCGGCUUAUCAGCUUGGUGGUGGGGUAGUGGCUUACCAAGGCUUUGACGGGUAGCCGGCCUGAGAGGGUGACCGGCCACAUUGGGACUGAGAUACGGCCCAGACUCCUACGGGAGGCAGCAGUGGGGAAUAUUGCACAAUGGGCGGAAGCCUGAUGCAGCAACGCCGCGUGCGGGAUGACGGCCUUCGGGUUGUAAACCGCUUUCGCCUGUGACGAAGCGUGAGUGACGGUAAUGGGUAAAGAAGCACCGGCUAACUACGUG